ACAAAAUCCAGAGAGAGCUCAACAUGUACUGGAGUGAGGCAGCAGAGGAUUUUUCGCAGGUAAAUGGCUGUCCGAUCUAGGCGUACUUUACCUCCUGCUGAGUGGUGGUAUACAUAUGGAGGAGCUUGCCCAAAUUUGACACGUCUAGCAGUCCGUAUUCUCAGUCAAACAUGCAGUGCUAGAGGAUGUGACCAUUCAUUCCUUUCGAACAAAUUCAUGACGAAAGACUGAAUAGUUUUGAGCGUCAACGAAUGCAUCAUCUCACUUUUGUUCAAUACAGCCUUCGGCUACAGCAACGACAACAACGCAAGGCGAAAGCAUUUGAUCCUGUCUCAGUGGACUACAUAGAAAUAGUUGAUGACUGGGUUGUGGAUAGAGCUGCACUGUUCCCCAGCCCAGCCGAGCAGCCAAACUGGAUGGAGAUUAAUCAACCAGUCAUCCGAAUCACGUCCAGGGAACCAAAUGAAGAUGAAUUCGAAUCCUUCAUUGAAGCUAGAUCCAUAUAUAUUUCCUUUCUUCCACUUUAUCUGCAGGUAAUGAUAAAAGCUGAAUAUUAAAAUCUCUAAACUUCCUUCCAGGAGUCGAUGACGAAAUGAUCCAAGGUGUAGCGCAGGGCAUCCAGGAAGAUGACGAUGACGAUGACCCUGCUUGUGCCUGAGGCUAGCUAUAGAUGAACUAGUCGGCUAACCUGUAAGCUGAUGUUGUAUGGACAAAAUCCGGCGUUGCCUGUCAUGAUUUUCCAAGUAGCAUAACAAGUAUAUGCUUCUUAUUCUGUAAUUUAUACUUACUGUCUGUUUUGGUCCUUAAGAUAUUUAGAGUUCAGAUAUCUUCCGUAUCUUUGGUCAAGUCCAUUACUGGUCACAAAGCAGGCUUUAUCGUAAAGUUUUAGGUUCUCGUGAUCUUUUUCU